UGAUGUUGUGGCAUUUUCAAAUUCACUUAACGUGUUUAAGCUUGCUGGUCCAUAAGCUUGCACCUCAAGGGAAAUUACCAUGUCAGUCACUGCGAACAUGCUCUGUCUUUACCAGUGUUGCUCACAGACAGUUGAUUGAAAGCUGUACAAAGAAUAAUAGUCAAAUGGCAACUGAGCUAUUACAUAAUUUUUCAGAGUCUAAAGAAACAAGACGGUUAGUAUGAUAAGUUGCUUUUUCUGAGCUUGGAUGUUCCUUGUACAUUGGGGGCAAGGCAGACUAUUGAAACAAGUUAGGAGAUGGGAGCAUGGAGACUCAUUACUCAGGUAUGGAUUAUUUGUAGCUAUUUAUAUGGGCUGGGAGGUUUUGCUCAAGGCCAGUGCUAUAGAAUCCACACCUGUUUCUCUACUCAGUGUGUGAAGUCUUGACGUGGUAAAUGGAGAAAUCGUUGAGUCGGGAUGCAAAUCGGAGUUCAAGUCCUCUUGUAGCUGUUUGUUAUAGGACAGAGAGCAAGACUUUUUAUGUCCUCCUUCCUUAUCCAUACGUUAGGGAGAAUAAUACACUCUCUUUGACUAGAUUGUGGAGAUGGCUUAGGUGUGAGUGCUUACAAAUGUGUGACAGUUGUAGCCUCUAUCUUACACAAACAUCUGCUAGCUGUCCUAACCGAUGUGAGCCCGUGCUUGGGCAGGUUAUAAAUGUUCCUGGGAGGGAACUAUGCCUCUGGAUGGGGACCUUGUGGCAAUUUCCUUGAGUAUUUCCUUCCUGGCUUGUCUUUUACUUCUUUCUCCCUCUCUGAUUGCCACUCCUAAGGUUUUGGCACCCGGCCCCUAGGGUAUUUAUUUGUAUUCAUUACACACACUCCCCACGUGACUCCCUCGGCUCUGUGCCAAAGGUGGAAAUCGAAAUCAGUAAAAGCUUCCUUUAUUUGCGUUAUAACUAACUUUCAUUUCUUUCCUUCCCUUGUACCCCUCAAACUCCCCUUACUCACAACAAACGCCAACAAGGCCAAAACCUGGCCAAGCAUCACGUUACUUACUCUGAAAAUAAAAGUCUCUUGCAGUUUAUCCGUACUUUGUCACCCAGUCCCAGCAAUAGUGGGCUUGAUGGCCUGCAUGCUAACUAGUUUGUUAUUCUAGAGGUUGCAUUUGCCACACGGCUCCUGUGCUCCCAAGUACUCAUAAAUUCCCAUGAAAAGCAAACAACUAAAAGCAUAUUUUUUAAAUAUCCCUGAAGACAAAAUAAAUGCUAGCAACCCAUAUCUGUUGAUAGUCCCCCUUCAAGUAUUCUAUCCACCUAGACCAUGCCCUCC
rnacentral:lncRNA from 1 species